rnacentral:lncRNA from 1 species
CUCUCUCCUCCUCCUCCUCCUCCUCCUCCAUUGUUCUACCAAAUCACUAUUUAUUGUCCCACGUUCCACAUCAUGGUAUUAAUGCUUGAUCAGAUUUGUUAGAUCUUUGGUGCUGAGUCCAGAAAGUUCUUCACCCAAAAGCUGCCUGUGGUUCAUAAAAAAAGAAACACAUGGAAGAAGACAUUGCAAUUUCCCAAUUUCAAAUCUUGGGUGUCAUUUCCUUAAUAAUUCUUGGAUUUGUACCCCAUGAAAAUAGUUGAGGUGCGUGCAAGUUGAUCCAUACAUCACGCUUAUCAUAAAAAAGUACUUCGAAAUGAUGAACACCACUUCACUAUGUACGACGUUUUUGUUUUUUUCCAACUAUGCCUCAAUUUCAAGCUAGUUGAGGAAUUAAUCGCUCUCAUAUCCAUGUCAAGGAGAUAUAUACCAACUGGAAGUUUCGAGGAAUUGACAAAUUUGGCAUAUACAAACUAAAACCUGGUAUAGGGCAUUGUCCAAUCUCAGGUGUUCCUUUGAUAUUCCCAGUCCACUCUUGCGACCAAAGAAAGAACACAAUGAAGUAGGUUAAGGUCAGCUAAAGGAUUUGAUGGGGCUAAGGAUGGUUCCAAAAAGAGCAGCUACUUUAGAUGAACGCUACUGUGGUUGCACUAUUUAUUUGCAUGCAUGAAAUUGACAUACGUGUAUCCUGUUCGCUCGAGCCAUGAUAAAGAUGGGUGAAUUCGAUAUCAAAGGGAUGAAAAGAAGCUGAUAGCAUAAUACAUGAGUAGGUUGGCCAAGAAUAACCUUGAUGAUCAAGAGAACUUUACUGACCAUCCCUAAAUCCCAACGAAAGCCUUCUACCGGGGCUUUGCUGGGAAAACCUGCUUAAAAAAAUGGACAUGUGUGAAGACCAAGAGCGGUUAUUCACUUUUCUUCUUCCUUAGUCUAAGCAAUCAAUUUGUGAGAUAAAUUAAUUCUCCAUUUGUAGUUAGAUUUUUGCGUUUGUAUAACCUUUUUUUUCGAGUUCUACCUUGAAAGGAAACCUACAAUGAGAUUGUACCCGAAUAGAGAUGGUGGUCUUACUCUGGCCCAUAAUAGAAUAGCUAGGUGAAGCAGUCAAUCGAUCUUAUAUAUAAGAAGAACAAAAGAUCUUUCUUGAUCAA